GGGUUGUGAGGUUAAGCGACUAAGCGUACACGGUGGAUGCCCUGGCAGUCAGAGGCGAUGAAGGGCGUGCUAAUCUGCGAUAAGCGCCGGUAAGGUGAUAUGAACCGUUAUAACCGGCGAUACCCGAAUGGGGAAACCCAGUGUGACUCGUCACACUAUCAUUAACUGAAUCCAUAGGUUAAUGAGGCGAACCGGGGGAACUGAAACAUCUAAGUACCCCGAGGAAAAGAAAUCAACCGAGAUUCCCCCAGUAGCGGCGAGCGAACGGGGAGGAGCCCAGAGCCUGAAUCAGCAUGUGUGUUAGUGGAAGCGUCUGGAAAGGCGCGCGAUACAGGGUGACAGCCCCGUACACAAAAGCGCAUGUGCUGUGAGCUCGAUGAGUAGGGCGGGACACGUGGUAUCCUGUCUGAAUAUGGGGGGACCAUCCUCCAAGGCUAAAUACUCCUGACUGACCGAUAGUGAACCAGUACCGUGAGGGAAAGGCGAAAAGAACCCCGGCGAGGGGAGUGAAAAAGAACCUGAAACCGUGUACGUACAAGCAGUGGGAGCACAGGUUUACCUGUGUGACUGCGUACCUUUUGUAUAAUGGGUCAGCGACUUAUAUUCUGUAGCAAGGUUAACCGAAUAGGGGAGCCGGAGGGAAACCGAGUCUUAAUUGGGCGUUAAGUUGCAGGGUAUAGACCCGAAACCCGGUGAUCUAGCCAUGGGCAGGUUGAAGGUUGGGUAACACUAACUGGAGGACCGAACCGACUAAUGUUGAAA
rnacentral:rRNA from 1 species